rnacentral:rRNA from 1 species
CUACGGGUGGCUGCAGUCGAGAAUCUUCCGCAAUGGACGAAAGUCUGACGGAGCGACGCCGCGUGCGGGAUGAAGGCCUUCGGGUUGUAAACCGCUGUCAGUGGGGAGGAAAUGCAUCAGGGUUCUCCCUGGUGUUUGACCGAUCCGCAGAGGAAGCGCAGGCUAAGUUCGUGCCAGCAGCCGCGGUAACACGAACUGCGCGAACGUUAUUCGGAAUCACUGGGCUUAAAGAGUUCGUAGGCGGCCUUUCAAGUCGGGUGUGAAAUCCCUCGGCUCAACCGAGGAAUUGCGCCUGAUACUGUUGGGCUUGAGGGGGAUAGGGGUGAGCGGAACUGAUGGUGGAGCGGUGAAAUGCGUAGAUAUCAUCAGGAACACCGGUGGCGAAGGCGGCUCACUGGAUCUCUUCUGACGCUGAGGAACGAAAGCUAGGGGAGCGAACGGGAUUAGAUACCCGAGUAGUC